UUACUUUAUAAAUCAUAUAUUUGGGUAAGAAACAAUUUAGUUUGUAGCAUUUAUAUUGGCCAAAAAGAUUGAACUGCAUGGACCAGGUGGAAAAGGACUGCCUAGAAUAGCUUGGAAAUUAAGCGUACUACAGGUCACAGUACCAUUUGUUCUUACGCUUUAGGCAAGGAUUUUCUUUUGUGAAAUUAUUAAGUCUAAAGCAAUCUGGAUCAGUUCCCUAAGCAUCUUAAUCUGCUAGAUUUCAAGGAUGAGAUGAACACACUUUAAAACGUAUUCCAGUUGACCAAAAGGGGAAGACAGGCGGAAAUCAAAGCAUUUUCUUUUCUUUUCAUGCAACACGAGACCAUACCUGGAAAAAUAAGCCGUGCCACAAUUUGACUUCAAGUUAGUUUAAGCUCAUCAUCAGAAAGUUUCAGACGUUAGAGCUGGUUAGCUCAGCCGGCCGGUGCCUGCGGAGCACCCGGCUCUCAGGAGGCCUCUAGCGCUACUUACUCAGCCUCACGUUCAACCUCACACGGGCUGCAGUCCCGAGGCCGCUCCGCUUCCUGCUUUGAGCUUGAAGAUCUGCUCAGGAAGAUUUUCUUGUAAGGUUUGGAAAGUCUUAUCUCGCUUUGUGAUCAAGGCAGCCCCGAUGGCGUCGUUCAAGACCGUUACACUGAGAAAAACACUGAUGAAGCUCGUGGAGACUUUGGUCACCUCCAUCUUGCUUGGGAAAAUCGCCAUUUUGUGCCGAUUCCCCACGUUCGCUCACCUUUAUAGUGCCCUUGUUUGUUAGGCCUAUGUGGCAAAGAGAGAAGAGGUGACCUUAGACGGCUGAACGUUUAAUAGCUUCCUUGCAGGAGAUAACCCGUCGUGGGUUUGAAAUCUAUUUGUUUGCCCCUGUUGGGAAGGAACUUUGUAAGAAAAAUUUGAAUAUGCAUGAUGACCAGCUGUGUAUAAACUGGAGGCUGUAUCGGGAUGAGGGGUCUCUCCUGCGGGAGAGACCAUUUUGCCCAGCAAAAUAAACUCUCCGUAAUCCUUGUGCUUGUUCUGCA
rnacentral:lncRNA from 1 species